GUUGUAUGAUUUGUAUAUUAUUAUUAUUUUUUCCAAAUUGAUUUAUAAUAUAUUUGUAAUAAUUAGUUCUACAAUUAUAUGUUGUAUAAAUGUUUUAAUUAUUAUUUUUAUAAUUCUUUGUAUAAUAUAUUUGUAAAUUGUAUAUAAUGUAUAUGUUUUUUAUUUCUUUGGUACAAAUGUAUAAUGUAUAUGUAUAUGUCAGAUUAUUACCACGAUGAGUUCUCCAAGUAAUAAUGAAGCAUCAGGGUCC
rnacentral:lncRNA from 1 species